rnacentral:rRNA from 1 species
AUGGUGCGGAAGGCGAAGGUCGAGUUCGACGAGAGGCCGCCGGAUGACUUCGACCCGAAGAACCCGUACGGGGACCCGGUGGCGAUGCUGGAGUACAGGGAGCACCUGGUGCGGGAGAAGUGGAUCCAGAUUGAGACCGCCAAGAUCAUCCGCGACCGCCUCCGCUGGUGCUACCGGAUCGAGGGCGUCAACCACCACCAGAAGUGCCGCCACCUCGUCGACCAGUACCUCGAGUCCACCCGCGGCGUCGGGUGGGGCAAGGACCACCGCCCGGCGGACCUCCACGAGCCCAAGAAGGUGGUCGAGGUCGAGGAGUAG